UACGAAGGGUGCAAGCGUUACUCGGAAUUACUGGGCGUAAAGCGUGCGUAGGUGGUUUGUUAAGUCUGAUGUGAAAGCCCUGGGCUCAACCUGGGAAUUGCAUUGGAUACUGGCAGGCUAGAGUGCGGUAGAGGAUGGCGGAAUUCCUGGUGUAGCGGUGGAAUGCGCAGAUAUCAGGAGGAACACCGAUGGCGAAGGCAGGUCACUGGGCCGCAACUGACGCUGAGGAGCGAAAGCAUGGGGAGCGAACAGG
rnacentral:rRNA from 1 species